rnacentral:rRNA from 1 species
CUGGGCUUGACAUGCAUCUCUAAGCGCGUGAAAGCGCGUGACCCUUCGGGGGAUUUGCACAGGUGCUGCAUGGCCGUCGUCAGCUCGUGUCGUGAGAUGUUGGGUUAAGUCCCGCAACGAGCGCAACCCUUGUGACUGGUUGCCAGCGCGUAAUGGCGGGAACUCGAGUCAGACUGCCCAGAUCAACUGGGAGGAAGGUGGGGACGACGUCAGGUCAGUAUGGCCCUUACGCCCAGGGCUGCACACGUACUACAAUGCCCGGCACAGUUGGAGCCGAAGCCGCGAGGUGGAGGAAAUCCGCAAAACCGGGCCCAGUUCGGAUUGGAGGCUGCAACCCGCCUCCAUGAAGUCGGAAUCGCUAGUAAUGGCGCAUCAGCUACGGCGCCGUGAAUACGUUCCC